rnacentral:rRNA from 1 species
CAGCCGCCGCGGGAAUACGUAGGUCCCGAGCGUUGUCCGGAUUUAUAGGGCGUAAAGGGAGCGCAGGCGGUUUAGUAAGUCUGAAGUUAAAGGCAUUGGCUCAACCAAUGUAUGCUUUGGAAACUGUUAGACUUGAGUGCAGAAGGGGAGAGUGGAAUUCCAUGUGUAGCGGCGAAAUGCGUAGAUAUAUGGAGGAACACCGGUGGCGAAAGCGGCUCUCUGGUCUGUCACUGACGCUGAGGCUCGAAAGCGUGGGUAGCGAACAGGAUUAGAUACCCCAGUAGUCCCUGUCUCUUAUACA